AUAUGUUAGGAAAUUGUUUUAGAAAAGAGGUGUGGCUCUUCCUUCAUUCUCACGAAGAUUCUAAUGUUCAGAUGGGAACUGAGUUUAUAGCCUAGUCAGCAAGUAUCUACAUGACUAUUUUCUCAAGGGUUUUGAUAUAAAAGUGACAGAUUUACAGGGAAGGUACCUCUGGGCAGCAGCUUCUCCAGCACCUUUAUACAGAGAGACUAAGAUCGCUGUGAAAAUGUAGUUCUGGGUUCUAGAGCUGCAUUGCUUCAUAUAUUUAGUGAAUUGCCUAUAAAGUUUUGUUGGUGUAGGUUCUGCUUUGGUUUCUGGAGCCCGUGGAUUUGGUCAGGUUAGGCAUCUUCCCUGCACUAGCCUCCCCUCCUUACCUAACCUAAUUGCGUAGCAAAUGUACUGAGUUUUGAAGGGUCAGUUGCUGAUUCCUUGGAAAAAAUAAAACUUGUAGAUCUUUGGGUAACAUGAACACUGAGUUCUUUCUAUCCUGUGUUCUUUGACAUUGAUUCACAAUUUCCUUGGGUUGUUUGGUUAGUCCCCCUUCGUAAAACACUGAUUAGAUAGAAAGGAGGCCUCUAGGACAGAGAGCACUAAAUCUUUUUUUUUUUUUUUUUUUAAUGAUUUCCUUGAGAAUCUCGUCCCAUACCAUGUGGUCCUUUAAAACGGACUAUGGUGUGGUAUGCCUAUAUCCAUAAACUCCUACAUCUCCAUACCUGGCAGUGCCACUGGACACAAAGGAAAAGAGUCCUGUUUGGGGAUUGAGUCCAUCACUGUGUACAUGACGCCUGGGAGGGAAGGCAUCUCAUGCUUCCAUAAGGCUUAUCAAACCCUUCGUAGCAUGAAAGCAGGCAAAGAAUUGUGAAGACAUUAGGAUACAUUUUGAAAGCCAGGGCAGUAGUGGGGAGGGGUGUUGCGGGUCAGCUUGUGUGAAUGGUGGCCCACUGAGGUGGCGGUCCAAAGGGCCCAUCCGCGGGCAAGUGAAGGCCUAGGGGUAGAGGAGAGAAGCCUCCUGAGACACUUUCUGUUUUCCUUAUUAUUUGGCCCAGGAUGGGGACUGAGAACUUGUCUAUAGCCACAAAACUAAACAAAACAAAAGAAGAAUAGAGAUUUUUGAAUCCAGUGUGAGGAUUUCGUAAUCAUUCCUUUUUUCUGUUGUUGCUAAUGUUUGCUUUUACAUAAUAACAAAUCUGUUUACUUCUGCAAAGGAUUAGCAGUGGACCCUGCUUCUGGAGCAAAACUCAGACAAGGAUUUACUAAAUCUUCUAAAAAAAGAAAAAAAAAAAGAUUAACUCCUAGAGGCCAGGUAAAUCAGGUAUGUGUUCUGGAAUUGACUGAAGACUCGUAAGCCACAUAAAAGUAUUUAUGGAAGCUUCUGUAAAUGGAGUUUGGGAAGAAGCGUUAGCUGAGGGGAGCUGCCACUCUACCGCUGUUCACUUGCUCUGGGAGACUGCCUUCCCUUGGAGAGCUGAACUCAAAAUAGCGCUAGUCAAUCAGGAGAAGGAGCUGGUCUGGCGUCUCACCUACACCAAUCCCCUGCAUGUGUACUUUAACCUCAUUCUCCCCAACUCCUGCUUUAUGAGAGAUGACCAGUGUCCAACAGAACUUUCUGUGAUGGAAAUGGAUGGCUACUGAACACUCAAAAUGUGAUACUGAGAAACUGAAAUUUUUAUUUUAUUUAACUUUAAGUAGCCACAGGAGGCUAGUGGCUGCUGUCCUGCAAGGCACAGGCACUCUCAGUUUCACUGUCAAAAGAGAUGAAGGCAAGGCUACCCUUUCCUUCAGGCACGGCUAUACUGCAUUUGCCCUCAGGUGUUUCCCUGAAGCACAAAACGUAUUUAUGUAGAUCCAGUCAUUUGUUUUAUGAAUACUCCCUACUUCAAAUUCCAGCUCACCCCUUUGUUAGCUGUCCUGAGUUUCAGUUAUCUAUCUGAUGCAUGUAAAUGAGCUGGUAGGCACAAGCAACUGAAACAAGAUGGAUCUGAAAGUACUCUGUAAUCUAAAGACACACCAUACAAAUACACGGUAGUAUUUAUAAACACUGGGAUUAAAAGCAGAAGCCAUCAGCUGCAAACUGACACAUGGUUCUAACCACUCAGCUAUGGAUAUAAUAGAAAAGAGACACACGUUUUCUCCUAUGUAUGCUUCACCAACCGUUACUCAUAGUGGGAGGACCCAGUAGCCUGGAUAAUACACCUGCUCAACACACACAGGACAUAAGCGGUUGCAAGUAAAAACUGGCCUGAGCUCUUUGUUUCUCAACAGAUAUCAACUUUGAUUGCUCACCAAUGCACCAAGCAUACAAAGGAAAAAUAAGAUUAUUCAAGAAAAAAGUACCUGCCUUUAGCACUGAAUAAAGUUUUCCCAGAUGCACUUUCCAGCCACUUCCCUAGAUUCAGAAGUCCAACAAGCUGUAGACCUCAUUACCUUUCCCUCGGGCCUUCAAAGAUGGUGGGUAUAUAAUCAAGGGGUUUUACACAUGGCCACACUGUAUUUAAAUGGGAGACAUUUCCUCCAACUCUUUCCCCAUUAUACUUGCAAAGGACAACAACAAAACAUUAAAUCACUUAAGCAUUUUUAUACUUAUUAAACGUAUUGCAUUUACGUCUUUGCCAAGACUGUUAUCUUUCUGAGUUUUGGUCUCUGUGUUAAAUACACCUAGUCCAACCCUAAGUGCAAAAUUGGUCCUCAAAUGUUGAACUGAAUUAAUUUUAUAAUAGUAAACAUUCCUCAGUUUCUUCAGGAAGGCUUUUUUUAAUGAUGAACUCAAAUUCACAAAUAGUUAUAACAUUUCAUUCACCAUAACUCUGUAUUUCAUUAAUAAUGGAUCUUCAAAUAUAAAUAUUUGCACUGUUUUCAUGAUAUCAUCACAAACUAUUAUAAACAUAGUCUUCCCAACAGAUUAUAAAUUCAUUGUGGCUGAGGAUCAAAGCCCAGCUAUUUUAAAAAAAUAAACUGUGUGGAUAAUACAGCAUCUCCCAUCACCAUGUACUUGACCAGUACUGGCUGGCUGGCUGCUGCUGCUGAUUCCGAUCUUUGGUUGAAACCUGAUGAGCCUUCUGGCCACACCCUUAAAACAGACUUGUGAUUAACUUUCUAUUAUUUGGCAAACCUCCAAGCAAUCCUAAGGGAGAACUAACAAAGGGAUGGUCCUGACCAUAAUCAGUCAGUUCUGUAACUUGACAUACGGAUUGCAUUUGAGUCUUAAAUACGGUAAUAUUUCAACACCUGUCACCCUGGAAAGAUAGUAAGUCUUCCCCCAAAACAUCUCAGGACAUAAUUUUCAAUCCCCUUGAUUCUAAAAAUACUGAGUGAGUGAUACAGAUCUGCCAGUAUGCCAAAGAAGGCUUGUGCCAUCUGCUUCAUUCUGUUCAUGCUGAUUAUUUUGGGGAUGAGAGAGCAUCAGAUUGGAAUAAGAACAUAUAUAUAUGGCAACAGCCAGGAAGGACUGUGUUCCCUGAGGGCUGAUGGUAUACCACGGCGGAGGGAGAGGUCAGGGCACAAGUGUAGUUCCAGGACGUCCCCAAUGCUGCGUAACACAAUCAGCUAAUGGGAGACAAAUGUUUUACAACAUUCUCAAAAUAAACUAUGACUUCUGGCUUCUAUUUCCAUUGUCCCCAGUGACACGAUGCAAGGCCCAUUUCUGAGAGGAAACUGAAUUUCCAUUUUUAGUCUUCCAACAUGGGAACUCUUAAGUUCUUUUCUUGACUCCAUUCAUCACUCCUUGUGGACAGGAAGGUUCUACUCCAAACGUUUUUCUCUCCUAGUCCUGACACCUGGGAUUGCUUUUAUAUAAAUGUGUUAAGGCCAAUUUUAAAAGGGCCUCUAAUAAGGUUCUGUUUCUUCUUACACUCACUCACAAAAUAUGAAAGAGCCAAUCCUGGAGCAGGGCAGGUGUAAAUGCAUUGUUUAUUUGGCUCCAGGAGGCUUCUAGAGAGGGUGCUCUCCUCACUAUUUAAAGGACUCUAAUAGCAAGUCUCUAUCAUCUAUGAAAAAACCAUCCAGAAACAUCAGCUGGAGGAAGAAGAUACUCAGAACCUCCGGGUGGUUUUGCUACUUCUUGUUUUUCAUUACGCACAUGCACCGUAAAACUUGUUAGGUGUUGUAACUGAGCAAGCACGGUGUUAGAAGAAUUGGAGCUCAUUAUAUGUCUCAUCAGCAAAAGAGGAGCUCUUGGGGCUGGACUAGUAACUUGGUUGAGGCUUACAGAUGUGAAGC